rnacentral:rRNA from 1 species
UACGUAGGGUGCGAGCGUUAAUCGGAAUUACUGGGCGUAAAGCGUGCGCAGGCGGGCUUUUAAGCCAGACGUGAAAUCCCCGGGCUUAACCUGGGAAUGGCGUUUGGGACUGGGAGUCUGGAGUGCGGCAGAGGAGACUGGAAUUCCUGGUGUAGCAGUGAAAUGCGUAGAUAUCAGGAGGAACACCGAUGGCGAAGGCAGGUCUCUGGGCUGACACUGACGCUGAGACGCGAAAGCGUGGGGAGCGAACAGG